CCCGCCGGAGGUUGGGGGUCCGGUCGCGUUGGUCCCCAAAGCUUGGGAGGCUGGCGUGCACCAGGCUGAACUCAAUGACUGAGACAGUCUCUGGGGGAAAAGGCGCUUUUCACACCGUCUUCACGUGUCCAGCUCUUUAUUCGAGGUGUGUACAACAGCCGGAAUAGUCAUUAACUCAUUAGUCCAUAUUUAGACAAUGUACAAUUAUGACUGUUCAUAUUCAGGUUGUGACAGUGAUUGAUUUAUGACCCUGUCAAAAGCCAAGGUUGUUUGUACAAGCACAAGCUGUAAUGAGCUCAAGCAGAAAUGAACUGGAGCUGGAACCACAGACCAACUGGAGCUGAAAUGAAGCCAGAGAAGAUGAAACCCAAGUGGAACCUAAAACUUGCUGGAAGCAAGAACAAGCUGGAGGUGGACCUGAAACAAGCCAGGGGCAGAAACAAAUGAGCUGGAGCCACAGAUGAACUGGAGCCGCAAACAAACUGGAGCCGUCCAUGAGCUGGACCUGAAAUGAACUGGAGCUGAAAUGAGCCAGAGCUGUCCAUGAGCUGGAGCCACAAAUGAACUGGAGCUGUCCACAAGCUGGGGCAGAAACAAACAAAACAGGGGCAGAAGCAACUGACCUGAAGCCACAACCAAGCUGGAGCUGCGAAGUCCCUGCAGUGUAUCCGGGUGGGCAGAGCCGGGUUGGAUCAGAAUUACAAAGACUGGUGGUCUGAGAUGCUGAUGCUUGACCUGCUAGUCACUGCCAUAAGUGCUCUAUUACUGAAAGGCUGUGGCUUUAAACGAUAGGUUACCUCCCUCCCAGAAGCACCGAUUACCAGGGGACACAUCACUGGGCAACAGAGGCCUUCCUCGAAGCAUGUAUUAUUUGGAAAAAAUCCAUCACAGCAUCUGGAUUCCCCUGAAAAGGUAUUCCCAUUGGAAGAUCUGAAACAGCCAACUGCACAGGAUGUAACCACUGUUGGAUGAUAGCGUUAUCCUUUCUGCAGAGCUCCCCAUGUCCUGCCAACAGCUGCCCAGGCAGACAGAGUUCAGGCUGCGCCUGCCC